UCUCUCCAUUCCCGCACAGUCCUUAGAUCUCACCCACUCCACUCCCUCUGCUCUCCCCCACAGCCGGCGACUUCAUCUCCCACCAUCGCCCUCUCUCAUCCCUUCCCCUCCACUCAUCUGAUGUCGAUCAGGUGCGCGCACAACCGGCUCUCUCGUCUCCCAUGGCAGUGGCGGCGAGGUGGAUGAACGCGGCGUGCGGCGCCCCCGCCCCGACGGCGGUGGAGGUGGGCGAGUGGAGGAAGGACUGGCCAUUGCGAUCCGGUGGCUUCGUCGUGCUCUGCGACAAGUGCGGAGUCUGAAAGAACUCAUACAAAAUGAGAUGGUGCCCUGCCCCAUUGACAUAGUUAAUAACGCUAUCGACGAUCACCUAGCCAAGAGGCUCACCAAACUGUGUGGUUCUGAGAACAAAUUAGUUGUGGGAAGUGCUGAAUAUAAAAGAAUAAUUGAAAUGAACCUGGGAAUAACCUGUCUUUAUGUUGAUGUUCCGGAUUGUGAGGUCAUAAUUUGGAGUCAGAUGAAUCCCGUGCGUACUUUACUUGGUUUCCUUACAGGAGACAUGACUAUUGUGCUGCUAUAUGAAGCACCUGUUGGCAUUGCAAUUUUCUCUUUUGAUGGGGACUACCUCAAUGAUCCAGCAAAGGACUUUUGGUAAUGCUUGCCAGCGCUUGUUAUUUCUGAAAGAAUUCGUACGAAAUGAGACGGUGGCCUCCCUAGUUGACAUAGCUAAUAAUGCUAUUGACGAUCACCUGGCCAAGAGGCUCACCGGCUUGUGUGGUUAUGAGAAGAAAUUAGUUGUAGGGUGUACUGAAUGUAAAGUAAUAAUUGAAAAGAACCUGCUUAGUAUAACUUUAUAAGCUUUCUUGUUGCUUGUCUGGGUGAACAAUAUAUUGAUCACAAUUUGAUUUUUCAGGGAAUAACAUGUCUGCAUGAUGACGACAUGACUACCUUGGAUACGAUCAAAAUAUUGCAUACAUGCAUAUUUGUCAGGUGAUUUCUAAUGCAAACUAUUUAAUGAUCUAUUUAUAUUAUCCAGAAC